rnacentral:rRNA from 1 species
UACGUAGGGGGCAAGCGUUGUCCGGAAUCAUUGGGCGUAAAGAGCGUGUAGGCGGCCCGGUAAGUCCGCUGUGAAAGUCCAGGGCUCAACCCUGGAAUGCCGGUGGAAACUGUCGGGCUAGAGUCCGGAAGAGGCGAGUGGAAUUCCUGGUGUAGCGGUGAAAUGCGCAGAUAUCAGAAGGAACACCAAUGGCGAAGGCAGCUCGCUGGGACGGUACUGACGCUGAGACGCGAAAGCGUGGGGAGCAAACGGG